UCCCUGGAGGACUAGUGGUUAGGCCACGGUGCUCUCACAGCUGCGCCCUGGGUUCGAUUCCCGGCCAGGGAA
rnacentral:tRNA from 1 species